rnacentral:rRNA from 1 species
GACGAACGCUGGCGGCGUGCCUAAUACAUGCAAGUAGAACGCUGAAGAGAGGAGCUUGCUCUUCUUGGAUGAGUUGCGAACGGGUGAGUCACGCGUAGGUAACCUGCCUUGUAGCGGGGGAUAACUAUUGGAAACGAUAGCUAAUACCGCAUAACAAUGGAUGACACAUGUCAUUUAUUUGAAAGGGGCAAUUGCUUCACUACAAGAUGGACCUGCGUUGUAUUAGCUAGUAGGUGAGGUAACGGCUCACCUAGGCGACGAUACAUAGCCGACCUGGGAGGGUGAUCGGCCACACUGGGACUGAGACACGGCCCAGACUCCUACGGGAGGCAGCAGUAGGGAAUCUGCGGCAAUGGGGGCAACCCUGACCGAGCAACGCCGCGUGAGUGAAGAAGGUUUUCGGAUCGUAAAGCUCGGUUGUAAGUCAAGAACGAGUGUGAGAGUGGAAAGUUCACACUGUGACGGUAGCUGACCAGAAAGGGACGGCUAACUACGUG